UCUUCCUCUCCUCUCUGUUAGACUGCCAAUCCUCCACCCUUCUUUGCUCCAGAUCGCCGCCUCCGGCGAGACGAAUAGCCGCUAGUCAGAGGCAGCGCCGCCCACUCCCUCCUCCUCAUCUUCUCUUCCUCCCCUCUUCACUCUCCUUUUUCAAACAAAGCAAGCAGCGAAGGCUGCUGUCUGACCGGAAGCUCCAAGACGCAAGCCACCAACGAGCUCCAUGAACACCAACAACAAUAGCCAGGCGAGGCCACAUCGAGCAGCAGCUCCAGUCAGUGAGAACAACCAGCGAGCUCCGAAGCAGCGCCAUAACCAGCGAGACAACAGCUCCAGCCGGCGAGAAACAUCAACAAGGUAGCGGCUCCAGCGAGCCCUGCUCCUUUCUUCUCUCUUAUUUCCAGCCAGCCACUCCAGCAGACAAGCAUGGUGAAAUAAUGAUAAUGGAGUUUGCUCGCACCUCAUCGCUUCAUUGGUUUUAAAACGGAUCUCAAUAGAUCCGCCCAGUUUAGUUUCUCUUUUAAAAUUUUCCAUUAUAGAUGCGUAAUUUGUCUAAUCUUAUGCAUGUUCUAGAUAGAUUUCGUUAUGAGCAUGAAACUAAUCAUGAUUUGCCGAUCUUAUGGACUAUUUUUUGUUGAUUUUCUGAACUCCGGAAGCAUGUGUAUUUUAACUUUAUCAAAAUGUCAUUCUAUUCUGAUUUGAUUUAAGUUUGAUGUAUGUUUUCUAAGCACGAUUUUGGUGUUGAUAUGCCGUUGAAUUUUUAAUAUUUGCUGAUACUUGGUUCAAUUUGUUAAGAUUUGAUGUGACAAUUGAUAAAUUCUCUUUGAUUUGGCUGUUGUCCUAUUUAAGUUUGAUUAUUUUCCUUCCGUCAGGAUAUUUCUUUAUGAAUUAAAUUAUGAUCUUUAAUAUCUUCUGCUGAUGUAUAAUUAUUAGCAGGUUUUCUUCCUCCUUAUCUAGUUAUGAUAAAAUUUAUUAGAACAAAUAAGUAUUGUUACUUGAUUUGAGCUAUUAUGAUAUUGUCCUUCCUUAAAUAAUAAAUUGAUCCCUUUCAGCUAAUGAUGUGUUUGUUAGUUAACGGAUUUUAGGUGCCUUAUUCAUGUUUAGACAGAUUGUUACUUGUUUAUAUUUGGUAAAAAAAUAAAUUACUAACAAUGUGAUUUGGCUCUCCUUUGAAAUAGGGAAAAUGUUAUAUUAAUUGAUUCCUUAAAAUAUUUAUUUCCCUUAUAUGUACCCUUCUUCUAAUAUAUAAAUAUGACCCCUCCCUUCAUUGCUCACACACUCUCACAUCGGAACAUUUGGCUUACACUCUAAAAAAAAGACUAAAAAAUAUAUUGCUCUCUACACUAGAUAAAAAAAAAAUCAAGUUUUUCCGGUAAACGUCAAAGCUCCUCUCUACUUGCUAUUUUGUUGUGUUCGGGUCAGUUAUUGGAUUAAGUGUGGAUCUUCAUUGCUGUUUUCUUUUACUGCAUAACUGGUUAGUAUCCUUUAUACAUGUUUAAUUUAUGUUCUGCAUCGUCUUAGUUAUCUUAAGUCCAAAAUUGGGUAUUAAUAAAUAAAAAAAAGCAUCCAGGUCAAUUUUCUUCUCCCCUAUUAUGUGUGAUAUUAUAUUUUUCUUGAAUGAAUUGUUUGUUCGAAUCUAGUGUGUAUUCUCUGAGCUAUUCUGUAAUUAGUUUGUUGUACUAUCCAUUCACUCUUCCACUUUGGUUUAGCAGGUUGAAUUUAGUUCUGGGAGCUUGAAGAGUUGCCUGGGAUGGGUCAUUGGGAUAAGAUUUUUUUAAUAAUAUUUGUAUUUGUUAUUAUGGUUCUGUAAUAUUUUUUGUUGUAAACUCUAACUCUCUCUCUAUAUAUAUAUGAAUAACUUGGGGAUCGUCUAAAGGAGAGGAGGGGAAUUACGUGCUAACUAUUUAGUUAUUUACUUCAUUUUAUUUACGUGUGAUUGUUUAAAAGUCUGCAUUGGUUGAUCACACAAAGCCUUGUGAGC
rnacentral:lncRNA from 1 species